UGGCUACGACCGGCGCGUCGCCUCCCCGCCUUCGUCCCUUCCCCGGGCACAGCCCCGCCAGUCCCAGCCCCCAGCUGCGCGGGGCAAGCGGCAUUGUCAGAUUUAGGGUGACCCCGAGCGACCUCAGUCCAAGGCGCGGAGGGAGAGGCGCCUCUCCGGCCCUGGCAGGUUGACAGCGGAGGGGACCGAGCGAGCGCGGCGGCCGCAGUGGCACAUUCCCGCCUGCCUCCUCGUGGGAAGCGGCCGCCGCGCUCGCUCCGGGGAGCCCGCUUUGACCCGGCUGAGCCUUGGCGGGGUGAGCGAGGGGGCACACGCGGGAGACUCUAGCUGUGUUGUUUUUAGAAAACUGCAGCCAAUCUCUCUUCCCCUUUCCCUGCUGAGUGUGCAUUUCCCAGCCUAGACCCGCCAGGCCAACAAAUAAAGCCACCGGAUCAGGCAGUCAGCGAGGGACCGCCCCCAGCCCGACCCCGUCCCCUCCCCUGGCUCCCUCCUGCCUCUCCUCCGGGAAGGGCUCCUCCGGCGGCUCAAGCCUCGGAAAACGCAGGGCUGCUUUCCUGCUCGUCAGCUGAGCACUUCUGCCAGCUUUCUCCGACCAACUAAUAAGCCAUGCGCUAGGUACUCAGAGGGAAAUGUCAUAGUUAAGUUCUGCCUCUGGUUUCCCGGGUCUUAGCUGAUCUGAGGCUUCUCGGGGUCCUCAUUUGCACGCACAGUACUGGGCGAGGGAGCCCUACCGUACUGAGGGAUAAUUGCCGGCUAGCGGGUUGGUGCAGAGCAAAUUGUCCUUGCUAACAACCUCUUUCCUUUGCUGUUGGAUUCCACUAAGUGGUGAAAAGGGCCAGUUUUAGGUUUCUGCAGUUCCCCACCAAGGCAGACAGACAGACUUUCUGUGAGAGUAAGUGAUGGGCCGAGGGAGAACUCAGCAGUGUUCCUGGGUCCAUUUUAUUUUGGUCUCACGAACAUCUCUCUUCCUGAUGUCACAAAUCCCCAGAAUGGACAGGACCCAGUUCCCCGGAAGGGAAGAUGCCUCUAGAAUGCCCGGCAGGGGCCGUCCGUGGGCAAUACCCUGCCUCUUGCCCUCCCACCAGGGCUCCUGCACUCAGCUUGGACUCCCGGAGCCUGGCUGAAACCAUGGCCCGUUGUUAAGAAUAGACUGGAUGGCAAAUGCUGGUUCCUUUCAUCAAGCUGUCAUCAAUUUGUCAGAAAUAAGAUGAAAUCGAUUGCUCCCAGAAGGCCAUUUGAGCCACUAACUUCCUCAAAGUACUUCAGACUGAUGCAAUAUAUGGAGAUUCAGGUGACUCUGGCUGUUGCCUGUAGACUGGGUUCUAAGUGGAGCAAGGGAGGCAAUGAAGAGAACAGUUAUGAUCAAAGUGGAAGGAAUGGAUGAAAUUGCUGAGGACAUUGGAAAAGGAGGCUAAGGACAGAAUGUUGAGGGACCUUUAAAGCCUUGAUCGUCAGGAUGAGCCAACAAAAGACCUUGAGAAUGAGCAACUGGAGAGGUGGAUGAACUGAGGUACAGGGAGAGCUCAAAUUUGGCAAAGUUACACAGCAAUUCUGUGAUGGAAUAUAAUAUGGGGAUGGAUGUUUUGUGUUUGGGUGAGUAUCUUAAAGAAGGUGAAAGUAGACUUUAUAAUAAAAUAAGGCUAAAUAGCACAAUUGGCGUAUCCUUUUGGAAAUUCACAGGGAUUUCCAUUUGAUUGUAUUUUAUGAGGUCAAGUGGCUUCUUUGUUGAAUUCGUACUGUGGCAUGUGUCUAGCCCAGUGUGCAAAGGCAGCUUUCUCCACUGUAGUUCUUUUUCUGAAUUUUUAAGCACCUUUUGAUUUCAUAGAUUUAGUAAUUAUGCUGGAACACAGACAGGAUGGAGUCAAAUGUACUCAAUUUUAACUCAUGCUCAGAUUUACUCAAACAUACUCAGAUUUGAUGUUGUCUGCCAAAGCAAACUCCGGUCUCACUGAUUUUUAAAAUUCUUUGGAUCUUGGUUUGAGAAUCUGUGCUUUGGGUUUCAAAACAGUUAUCCAUCUUAGGUAGAUCCACUCUGAUAUCUAUGUAUUUGAUAUUAACACUGAUCCUGUAAAGUGCAUAUCUUUUAUUAUGUACAAGACAGCAACUUUCUUGUCCUAUGUAAGAGGAAACAUCUUAUACAUACCAGCAUACAGGAGUGAGUGGUAAUCAGGGUUUUUCAGUUGCAUAUCAAGAAACACAACCUGGAUUAGUUUAAACAAAAAAAUGAUUUAGUGGCCAGAACUGGGAAAGCUGAGAGCAGACCCGGCUCCGGGUAUAGCUGGAGCUAAAGGUUUUGUUGAUGCCAAUUAACGGGAUGGCUUCUGUUUUGCAUCUGAGCUGGCUUCAUUCUCAAGCAACCACUCUCCAGGCAGUGUCACAGGUGGUAAUGACAGCUUCAGGCUUAAGUGGUCCUCCAAGGUCAUGAUCACAGAGGAAAGAUUCGGGAGCAGGGUGCUUUCUCCCACAGAGUAUGUAAUUAUUAUUAAUAAAAUUCUGACUCGCUCCAGUUGGAGUAUGUGCCCAUUCCAGUCCGUUG